GGGCCUGUAGCUCAGUCGGUUAGAGCAGGGGACUCAUAAUCCCUUGGUCCACGGUUCGAGUCCGUGCGGGCCCACCA
rnacentral:tRNA from 1 species